rnacentral:tRNA from 1 species
GGGAGUAUAACUCAAUUGGUAGAGUGUAUGCUUUGCAAGCAUAAAGCUAUCGGUUCAAAUCCGAUUACUUCCA